GCUUGCUUCAGCAACACAUAUGCUAAAAUUGGAAUGAUACAGAGAAGACUAGAAUAACCCCUAUGCAAGGAUUGACACGCAAAUUCAUGAAGCAUAUCUCAUGUAU